UUUAUGGAGAGUUUGAUCCUGGCUCAGGAUGAACGCUGGCGGCGUGCCUAAUACAUGCAAGUCGAGCGAACGGACGAGAAGCUUGCUUCUCUGAUGUUAGCGGCGGACGGGUGAGUAACACGUGGAUAACCUACCUAUAAGACUGGGAUAACUUCGGGAAACCGGAGCUAAUACCGGAUAAUAUUUUGAACUGCAUGGUUCAAAAGUGAAAGACGGUCUUGCUGUCACUUAUAGAUGGAUCCGCGCUGCAUUAGCUAGUUGGUAAGGUAACGGCUUACCAAGGCAACGAUGCAUAGCCGACCUGAGAGGGUGAUCGGCCACACUGGAACUGAGACACGGUCCAGACUCCUACGGGAGGCAGCAGUAGGGAAUCUUCCGCAAUGGGCGAAAGCCUGACGGAGCAACGCCGCGUGAGUGAUGAAGGUCUUCGGAUCGUAAAACUCUGUUAUUAGGGAAGAACAUAUGUGUAAGUAACUGUGCACAUCUUGACGGUACCUAAUCAGAAAGCCACGGCUAACUACGUGCCAGCAGCCGCGGUAAUACGUAGGUGGCAAGCGUUAUCCGGAAUUAUUGGGCGUAAAGCGCGCGUAGGCGGUUUUUUAAGUCUGAUGUGAAAGCCCACGGCUCAACCGUGGAGGGUCAUUGGAAACUGGAAAACUUGAGUGCAGAAGAGGAAAGUGGAAUUCCAUGUGUAGCGGUGAAAUGCGCAGAGAUAUGGAGGAACACCAGUGGCGAAGGCGACUUUCUGGUCUGUAACUGACGCUGAUGUGCGAAAGCGUGGGAUCAAACAGGAUUAGAUACCCUGGUAGUCCACGCCGUAAACGAUGAGUGCUAAGUGUUAGGGGUUUCCGCCCCUUAGUGCUGCAGCUAACGCAUUAAGCACUCCGCCUGGGGAGUACGACCGCAAGGUUGAAACUCAAAGGAAUUGACGGGGACCCGCACAAGCGGUGGAGCAUGUGGUUUAAUUCGAAGCAACGCGAAGAACCUUACCAAAUCUUGACAUCCUUUGACAACUCUAGAGAUAGAGCCUUCCCUUCGGGGACAAAGUGACAGGUGGUGCAUGGUUGUCGUCAGCUCGUGUCGUGAGAUGUUGGGUUAAGUCCCGCAACGAGCGCAACCCUUAAGCUUAGUUGCCAUCAUUAAGUUGGGCACUCUAAGUUGACUGCCGGUGACAAACCGGAGGAAGGUGGGGAUGACGUCAAAUCAUCAUGCCCCUUAUGAUUUGGGCUACACACGUGCUACAAUGGACAAUACAAAGGGCAGCGAAACCGCGAGGUCAAGCAAAUCCCAUAAAGUUGUUCUCAGUUCGGAUUGUAGUCUGCAACUCGACUACAUGAAGCUGGAAUCGCUAGUAAUCGUAGAUCAGCAUGCUACGGUGAAUACGUUCCCGGUCUUGUACACACCGCCCGUCACACCACGAGAGUUUGUAACACCCGAAGCCGGUGGAGUAACCUUUUAGGAGCUAGCCGUCGAAGGUGGGACAAAUGAUUGGGGUGAAGUCGUAACAAGGUAGCCGUAUCGGAAGGUGCGGCUGGAUCACCUCCUUUCU
rnacentral:rRNA from 1 species